rnacentral:rRNA from 1 species
UACGUAGGGUGCGAGCGUUGUCCGGAAUUACUGGGCGUAAAGAGCUCGUAGGUGGUUUGUCGCGUUGUUCGUGAAAACUCACAACUCAAUUGUGGGCGUGCGGGCGAUACGGGCAGACUGGAGUACUGCAGGGGAGACUGGAAUUCCUGGUGUAGCGGUGGAAUGCGCAGAUAUCAGGAGGAACACCGGUGGCGAAGGCGGGUCUCUGGGCAGUAACUGACGCUGGAGGAGCGAAAGCGUGGGGAGCGAACAGG